ACUGUACAAAGGUAGCAUAAUAAUUAGUUUCUUAAUUAGGAACUGGAAUGAAUGAUUGAACGAGAUAAUAACUGUCUCAGUUUUAUUUAUAGAAUUUUAUUUUUAAGUAAAAAAGCUUAAAUUUUUUUAAAAGACGAGAAGACCCUAUAGAAUUUUAUAAGAUUUAUUUUAUAAAAAUAUUUGGUCAUAUGAUUUUUGUAUUAAUAAAUUUAUUUAGUUGGGGUGAUUAAAAAAUUAAUUUAACUUUUUUUUUAAUUUAUAUAUUUAUUUAUAUUUUUAUUGAUCCAAUAUUUUUGAUUAUAAGAUUAAGUUACCUUAGGGAUAACAACGUAAUUUUUUUAAAGAGUUCUUAUCGAUAAAAGAGAUUGCGACCUCGAUGUUGGAUUAAAGUUAAUUUUUAAUGUAGAAGUUAAAAAAUUAGGUCUGUUCGACCUUUAAAUCUUUACGUGACGAUGUGUAC
rnacentral:rRNA from 1 species